CAUUAAGUAACUUAAAGCAAGUAAUGGUCUCUUAAACCACAAUAUAGUAAAUUAGCAGUUACUCUUAAUGA
rnacentral:tRNA from 1 species